AGAGUUUGAUCCUGGCUCAGAUUGAACGCUGGCGGCAUGCUUUACACAUGCAAGUCGAACGGCAGCACAGGGAGCUUGCUCCCGGGUGGCGAGUGGCGCACGGGUGGGUAAUACAUCGGAACGUGUCCUGUUGUGGGGGAUAACUGCUCGAAAGGGUGGCUAAUACCGCAUGAGACCUGAGGGUGAAAGCGGGGGAUCGCAAGACCUCGCGCAAUUGGAGCGGCCGAUGCCCGAUUAGCUAGUUGGUGAGGUAAAGGCUCACCAAGGCGACGAUCGGUAGCUGGUCUGAGAGGACGACCAGCCACACUGGGACUGGAGACACGGCCCAGACUCCUACGGGGAGCA
rnacentral:rRNA from 1 species